GGCAUCAAUGUGAUAGAUCAGUUGCUGUGGGUUCCACGUGUUCUUGGCCAUAAUUGUGUCAAAGAGAGAUCUUGAAUGGAGAAUCUACUAGUGACAAUGGUACUUCUAAAUACAGAAGGCAUCCCAAAUUACAGAUAAGAAAACAAGACUCAAGAUCUGUGAUUCUAAUAUGCAGGCAAUGUUCCCUGACCUGAGUAUAACUCAGGGUCAUGUGGAGGGCUUGUUGAAAUGCAGCCUGUCGCCGCCGUCCCAUGUCCUGUGCACAUCAACGAGCUUUCAAUCCAGUGAGUCUGGGAAGUGCCUGAGAAUGUACAUUUCUAACAAGUUCCCAAGUGGUGCUGGUGCUGCACGAGAAUGUUUGAAUCCUGAUACCACAACUGGCGUACAAAGCAAUUGCCAAGACUGGAAUCAAGUGACCAGUUGAAAUAGUCACAACUAGAGGUGUUUUUGCCAUAAAAAAAUAUGAAAAUGGCAAACAUAUUUACUGGAAGAAUACUUUGCAAAGAGUUGACUGAAAAACUAUUUAGUUUCAUAAUAGCCCUGGAGCAUGAGUCAGCAAACAGUAAUCAAGUUGUCUUUGAAUCAGGAUGAAGGUGAAUUCAAGUCAUCACCAACACUUGUCGAAUUAUCAUCCUGGCACAAUGUUAACUUAUCGACCAGGUCCCAUGAGGAAAACCCAGCUGGAAAGCAAAUCAUCCAAAGUGAACUACUGAAAUGAUAUGGAAGCUGAGAUUGAGAGUAACUUACCUAAGGUGCUUUUUUGCUUACUUGUCAUCAGUAGCAGUAAGUAUGUUACUUGGAAGAAUUCUAAUGCCUACAGAUACUAAACCAGUGAAACGUUGUUUAGGAUUAUAAAUUUUGUUCUCUCUUACUUUGAAAGGUAUUUAAAUUCAGUACA